rnacentral:lncRNA from 1 species
AAUAUAAUAACAAUGAUCCAUGGAAACAAAAUCAUACAUAGCAAAUAUCCAUAUAUAUCAUAGGGUACACAUAUGAGUUCACAAAGUAUCACAUCUAGCUGGGCAUCUUCAAGUCAUGUACACUCUAGGAGCCCUUUCGACCAUCAGCCUCUACACACAUGCUAAGCUGCAACUAUGCUACUGGAAAGGAGACGAAGUAGAACUACUCGUUGUGUCGAGGGGAUGAAAGCGCCGCAUCAGGUUGCAUGUAGCUCCGUACACAUGCUAAGCUGCAACUAUGCUACUGGAAAGGAGACGAAGUAGAACUACUCGCUGUGUCGAGGGGAUGAAAGCGCCGCAUCAGGUUGCAUGUAGCUCCGUGUGACGAGUCAUCGCUAAAGCUCCAUCCCUUCUUCAUGUGUCCACUGAAAUUAACCAAACAAGAAAUAGGUUUCGAUUUAGCUUCAUCAUAUCAAAUAGAUUCAGACUCGAGAACAUCAUUCAUCAUACUAAAGGCAUUUUUUAUCAAUCAAAUAAACUUGUCAAGCAUUUGCAAACAUUAAGCAUCAUACAAAUUAAUGUUGGUUUAAAAUCAAGCUAAUAUUAGAACCAUGAAUGUUCCGAUGUCGAUUGUGCUAACAGUUUCUGCCCGUCAAUGCAAACAAAUACAAUUUUAAAAAAUAGCACGUGUCAACAGGCUCUCCACCCAUUCUAGAUAAAGAACAAAUCACGAAUCAUCUCACAAAGAUUCAGUAAUUUAUAUGUCAAAAACCAGAAAAGACAUUAAUACAUAUUUUUAGUCGUGUUAUAACUGAAAUAACACGCCACAACUAAUCACUGAAGUAUAGUGGGCACUAAGAAUUAAGGUUUUCAAUUACCUCAAGAGUCAUAAAUACUAAGCAUGUAAUGGAUGUCAAAGGAAACAAAUUCAGAAUGAAAGAGCACAUGUGUAUAUGCUCUUCAACCAUUUAGAUAAAGACCAAUCAGAAGUUGACUCACCAAAAUCCAGUUAUUGGGUUGAUAGCAAAUCUAAUGACAAAAAACUAGAAAGGACAUGGCUAGAGAUUUCCAGUUGCUAUAACAAAUGACUCGGUGGCCAUGAAUCGGAGCAUGCUACUGAUGUUGCAUGAAGGACACAAGCUUCAGAACAGAGAGGAGGGAGGAAGAGGAGGAAGAAGGGAGGGGAUGAAGCUCACCAUGAGAUUUUUGAAACAGAUGCCAUGCACGGCUGCCACCACGGUUGUGGGGGAGCCAUCCACCGCCGUCUAGGAAACCACCGGAGGUGAGCCACUGUUGUGCCAGGGUUGGGCCACCACGGGCGUACGUCCCGCAGCCACCAGGUUCAGGAGCACCAUCCUGGUAGGCACGUGUGGGAGUCAUGAAAAAACCAUCUACAAGCAACGAUGCACUCAUUGGCAAAUAUCAGACAAAAAUUUAGAAGGAUAUUAUUACUGUUACAUAUGUUUUAUCAUAUAGCACUUCCAAGUAGACCUCACACAACUAGAGAAUAUGUAUAUCAUUAUCGUAAAAGCCAUUAUUUCAGACUAUGUUCAAUACAGAAUAAUAUAUAUAGCGGACUCGGAAGUUAAAUUUCUUGAUACAAAGUGUGUGACUCGAGAACUUAUCUACUUAAUAAUACAAUUCUUGGUACAAGUGCACGGAAGUCAUCAC